GGUGAUAGCGUGCCUUUUGUAGAAUGAACCGGCGAGUUACGAUUUGUUGCAAGGUUAAGCGGAAAAAGCGGAGCCGUAGCGAAAGCGAGUCUGAAUAGGGCGCAUAAGUAACAGGUCGUAGACCCGAAACCAGGUGAUCUACCCAUGUCCAGGAUGAAGGUAAGGUAAUACUUACUGGAGGUCCGAACCCACGCACGUUGAAAAGUGCGGGGAUGAGGUGUGGGUAGCGGAGAAAUUCCAAUCGAACUUGGAGAUAGCUGGUUCUCUCCGAAAUAGCUUUAGGGCUAGCCUCGAGGUAAAGAGUCAUGGAGGUAGAGCACUGUUUGGACUAGGGGCCCUUCUCGGGUUACCGAAUUCAGAUAAACUCCGAAUGCCAUGUACUUAUACUCGGGAGUCAGACUGCGAGUGAUAAGAUCCGUAGUCGAAAGGGAAACAGCCCAGACCACCAGUUAAGGUCCCCAAAUAUAUGUUAAGUGGAAAAGGAUGUGGGGUUGCUUAGACAACCAGGAUGUUGGCUUAGAAGCAGCCACCAUUGAAAGAGUGCGUAAUAGCUCACUGGUCGAGUGACCCCGCGCCGAAAAUGUACCGGGGCUAAACAUAUUACCGAAACUGUGGAUGAACCUCUUUAGAGGUUCGUGGUAGGAGAGCGUUCUAAGGGCGGUGAAGUCAGACCGGAAGGACUGGUGGAGCGCUUAGAAGUGAGAAUGCCGGUAUGAGUAGCGAAAGAAGGGUGAGAAUCCCUUCCACCGAAUAUCUAAGGUUUCCUGAGGAAGGCUCGUCCGCUCAGGGUUAGUCGGGACCUAAGCCGAGGCCGAUAGGCGUAGGCGAUGGACAACAGGUAGAGAUUCCUGUACCAGUGCUAAUUGUUUAACCGAUGGGGUGACACAGAAGGAUAGGGAAUCGCACGAAUGGAAAUGUGCGUCCAAGCAGUGAGUGUGAG
rnacentral:rRNA from 1 species